UACGUAGGGUGCAAGCGUUAAUCGGAAUUACUGGGCGUAAAGCGUGCGCAGGCGGUGAUGUAAGACAGAUGUGAAAUCCCCGGGCUCAACCUGGGAACUGCAUUUGUGACUGCAUCGCUAGAGUACGGCAGAGGGGGAUGGAAUUCCGCGUGUAGCAGUGAAAUGCGUAGAUAUGCGGAGGAACACCGAUGGCGAAGGCAGCCCCCUGGGCCAAUACUGACGCUCAGGCACGAAAGCGUGGGGAGCAAACAGG
rnacentral:rRNA from 1 species